rnacentral:tRNA from 1 species
GGGGGCGGAUGUAGCCCCAAGUGGUUAAGGCAGUG